GUGAUGUCUACAACUUGUCUACCCUGGGUUUUACCCCCAAGAACACCUCUCUUACGAAACCAAACUUCACCCUUAACACCAAAACACUUCCGGUCGCUAUUCUCCGUUUCCUCAAAUACUUGAUAUGGGUAUAUGAUCACAGGAAGCAGGAAGGAAAAUGGGGAUCUGGGAAUGGGCACAGGUGGAGGAGAGGAGUAGUUGUUAUAUAGAUAAAAGGAAAGAGGCAGUUGUGGCUAUGAUUGCCGUGAGGUGUAUAUUGUUAGUGAUGCAACUGUGAAACUUGAAAAUGAUUUGUAACAGAGCGGGGGGACAGGUGAGUCGUGCCUUCUGGUUCACCCGUACCGCCUGUAGGGUUGGCCGGAGAGGGACCACGCGGGCGUAUGGAUAGGGAAAACACCGGGACCACUCCUUGCUUGGAUUUAUAUCGUUCGGAGGAGGGAAUUGCUAAAGCGAAAAUGCUAAUUAGGAGUUUAAAUAAUAUUCUUUCCGUUCUCUUCUUAAUUCCAGAGUUG
rnacentral:misc_RNA from 1 species